GCGGACCCAGAACCGACCCCUGCGGGACA
rnacentral:sRNA from 1 species